rnacentral:piRNA from 1 species
UCCUGUUUAUGUGCUCUAGUUCCUUUGUAUG